CUGGCGGCGUGCCUAAUACAAUGCAAGUCGAACGGUCUUUCUAUGGAAGCUUGCUUCCACUGAGAAGAGGUAGUGGCGAACGGGUGAGUAACAACGUGGGUAACCUGCCCAUAAGAGGGGGAGUAACAUCCGGAAACGGGUGGCUAAUACCGCAUAGUUUUCUUGAUCGCAUGAUUGAGAAAGGAAAGACGGCCUUUGUGCUGUCGCUUAUGGAUGGACCCGCGGCGUAUUAGUUAGUUGGUGAGGUAACGGCUCACCAAGACGAUGAUACGUAGCCGACCUGAGAGGGUGAUCGGCCACAUUGGGACUGAGACACGGCCCAAACUCCUACGGGAGGCAGCAGUAGGGAAUCUUCCGCAAUGGACGAAAGUCUGACGGAGCAACGCCGCGUGAGUGAAAGAAGGUUUUCGGAUCGUAAAACUCUGUUGUCAGAGAAGAACAAGUUGGAGAGUAACUGCUCCAGCCUUGACGGUAUCUGACCAGAAAGCCACGGCUAACUACGUGCCAGCCGCGGC
rnacentral:rRNA from 1 species